rnacentral:snoRNA from 1 species
UGCCGUGAUGUCGUAAUUUGCGUCUUACUCUGUGCCCAGUGACAGUUGCCUGCUGUCGGUGUACUGGUGCAGAUGCCUGAUGAACACUUAACGCUGAGCA